rnacentral:rRNA from 1 species
GACGUAGGGCGCGAGCGUUGUCCGGAUUUAUUGGGCGUAAAGAGCUCGUAGGCGGUUUGUCGCGUCUGCUGUGAAAACUCGGGGCUUAACCCCGGGCCUGCAGUGGGUACGGGCAGACUAGAGUGCGGUAGGGGAGACUGGAAUUCCUGGUGUAGCGGUGAAAUGCGCAGAUAUCAGGAGGAACACCGGUGGCGAAGGCGGAUCUCUGGGCCGUAACUGACGCUGAGGAGCGAAAGCAUGGGGAGCGAACAGG